rnacentral:piRNA from 1 species
UUUAUGUCAGUUUCUUGAGCU